rnacentral:misc_RNA from 1 species
CAGGUAUGCUAUUUUUUUUUUGCGUUUCAUAUAUAUUACGGCAUGGUUUUUGAAAAUUUUUUGUUGAUUUGUAAAAAGCUGUGAUGUUGAUUUUCUGCAGAUCUUUACUUUUCAUUUGUUUUAUUUUGUUUCUGGUUAGCUGUGCAUGUUGGUUUGGGUGUUUUUCUAUAAUAGAUUAACGUUAAUUGCAAAUUCUUAGCUGGGUUCUAUGGUUAAGUGUAUCCAGUUAGGUUGAUUGUUAAUUAUUAUUUUCUUGGUAAUUUAGACGUUCCAUCUCCAUGAGAUUUUUAGUUUCUUAUGGUUUGUACGUGUAUGUUGGUUCGUGAUCAGAACUCAAGAAAGCCAUAAUGCACGAAAAUGAGGCGAGGCUGACUGGUUUAAUCAGGCUAAUGUUUUUCUUAAUUCUGUUGAACCAUAGAAUCAAAAUGAGGAAAUGCUUUCUCUCCACAAAGAAUUUAUGGGGAGAAAAAAUAGAGAGAUUUAUUUAAAAUUUCAGUAGAAAGGGGAAUCAUUUAUCCUAAAAAACCUUAAUGUAGGGAAUUUAAGAGUGAGUGUGUGUGUG